CAGCACCUCAAGUGGUCAGGAUGAUUAUUGGGCCUAAAGCAUCCGUAGCCGGCGCUGUAAGUUUUCGGUUAAAUCUGUACGCUCAACGUACAGGCUGCCGGGAAUACUGCAGCGCUAGGGAGUGGGAGAGGUAGACGGUACUCGGUAGGAAGGGGUAAAAUCCUUCGAUCUAUUGAUGACCACCUGUGGCGAAGGCGGUCUACCAGAACACGUCCGACGGUGAGGGAUGAAAGCUGGGGGAGCAAACCGGAUUAGAUACCCGCGUAGUCC
rnacentral:rRNA from 1 species